CGGGCUAAGCGCACCGCUGUCCGCACGGUAAUCCACUCCGCCUCACCUUGUAUUGUUUGCAUUCAAGAAACUAAACUUUCCAUGGUCUUGUUGGCGCUCGUUAUUGAGACUCUUGGCGCUCUUUUUGAUGGUUUAUAUUGGUUACCCAUGGAUGGCACCCGUGGUGGGAUCAUCCUUGUGUGGCAAUCUAGCGUCGUCUCUCUGUCCAACCCGAUCGUUGGCGACCACCACGUCUUGGCGGUUGUGACCCCCCCCCUCGGUGGCUCCCAUUGGUGGAUCACGGGCGUCUAUGGCCCUCAAGGAGACGAUGCGAAAAUUGCUUUCCUUAAUGAGCUCCAAGACCUGCGUAGCAAUCUUUCCGGCCCUUGGCUUUUAGGUGGCGAUUUCAAUUUGGUCACUUCGGCGGUAGACAAGAAUAAUGGCCAGAUUAACCAGCGCACUUCGAACCAUUUCCGUUGCUUCAUCUCGGACCACAGCCUCCACCACAUCUACCUUCAUGGACGACGCUAUACUUGGUCCAAUGAGCAGGAUGUUCCUACCCUUGUUCGGAAUGACCGUGUUCUAUGUACUCCCUCGUGGUAG
rnacentral:rRNA from 1 species